UCUUGCCCAAUGGGCGCAAGCCUGAGGCAGCAACGCCGCGUGCGGGAAGAAGGCUCUCGGGUUGUAAACCGCUUUCAGCAGGAACGAAACUGACGGUACCUGCAGAAGAAGGUGCGGCCAACUACGUGCCAGCAGCCGCGGUGACACGUAGGCACCAAGCGUUGUCCGGAUUUAUUGGGCGUAAAGAGCUCGUAGGCGGUUCGGUAAGUCGGGUGUGAAAUCCCUGGGCUCAACCCAGGAAGUGCACCCGAUACUGCUGUGACUUGAGUACGGUAGGGGAGUGCGGAAUUCCUGGUGUAGCGGUGGAAUGCGCAGAUAUCAGGAGGAACACCAAUGGCGAAGGCAGCACUCUGGGCCGAAACUGACGCUGAGGAGCGAAAGCGUGGGGAGCGAAC
rnacentral:rRNA from 1 species